rnacentral:rRNA from 1 species
GACGAACGCUGGCGGCGUGCUUAACACAUGCAAGUCGAACGAAGAGCGACGGAAGCUUGCUUCUAUCAAUCUUAGUGGCGCACGGGUGAGUAACGCGUAAUCAACCUGCCCUUCAGAGGGGGACAACAGUUGGAAACGACUGCUAAUACCGCAUACGAUCUAACCUCGGCAUCGAGGAUAGAUGAAAGGUGGCCUCUACAUGUAAGCUAUCACUGAAGGAGGGGAUUGCGUCUGAUUAGCUAGUUGGAGGGGUAACGGCCCACCAAGGCGAUGAUCAGUAGCCGGUCUGAGAGGAUGAACGGCCACAUUGGGACUGAGACACGGCCCAGACUCCUACGGGGGGCAGCAGUGGGGAAUCUUCCGCAAUGGACGAAAGUCUGACGGAGCAACGCCGCGUGAGUGAUGACGGCCUUCGGGUUGUAAAGCUCUGUUAAUCGGGACGAAAGGCCUUCUUGCGAAUAGUGAGAAGGAUUGACGGUACCGGAAUAGAAAGCCACGGCUAACUACGUG